AGUGGCGAACGGGUGCGUAACACGUGAGAAACCUGCCCCGGACUUUGGGAUAACAGUUGGAAACGACUGCUAAUACCGAAUACCACCAUUUCCUCGCAUGGGGAGUUUGUUGAAAGGUCCGCCGGUCCAGGAGGGGUCUCACGGCCUAUCAGCUUGUUGGGGGGGUAAUGGCUCACCAAGGCAUCGACGGGUAGCUGGUCUGAGAGGAUGAUCAGCCACACUGGGACUGAGACACGGCCCAG
rnacentral:rRNA from 1 species